rnacentral:lncRNA from 1 species
GAAGCAUUUGAGAAUCUAUAUGGUGUUAAUAUGGGGAUGAAUGGAUGGUGUUCAUCGAAGGCAAAAGAUAGUCCCUCUCUGUCCCAUAAUUUUUCACCCUCUUCAGCUGAUCGACUUAUAAAUUUCUAUAGAAAUCUUCUUUUCAGACAAACUUCAAGAAGAUCUAUAGUAAAAAUGCUUGCAUCAAUGAAAUUCUUGCAAAAUGUAAACAUAUAG